UACGUAGGGUGCAAGCGUUAAUCGGAAUUACUGGGCGUAAAGCGUGCGCAGGCGGUUAUGUAAGACAGAUGUGAAAUGCCCGGGCUUAACCUGGGAACUGCAUUUGUGACUGCAUGGCUAGAGUUUGGCAGAGGGGGGUGAGAAUUCCACGUGUGAGCAGUGAAAUGCGUAGAUAUGUGGAGGAACACCGAUGGCGAAGGCAGCCCCCUGGGUCAAGACUGACGCUCAUGCACGAAAGCGUGGGGAGCAAAC
rnacentral:rRNA from 1 species